CAAUCAAACCGGGAGAUAGCUGGUUCUCCCCGAAAGCUAUUUAGGUAGCGCCUCGUGAAUUCAUCUCCGGGGGUAGAGCACUGUUUCGGCUAGGGGGCCAUCCCGGCUUACCAACCCGAUGCAAACUGCGAAUACCGGAGAAUGUUAUCACGGGAGACACACGGCGGGUGCUAACGUCCGUCGUGAAGAGGGAAACAACCCAGACCGCCAGCUAAGGUCCCAAAGUCAUGGUUAAGUGGGAAACGAUGUGGGAAGGCCCAGACAGCCAGGAUGUUGGCUUAGAAGCAGCCAUCAUUUAAAGAAAGCGUAAUAGCUCACUGGUCGAGUCGGCCUGCGCGGAAGAUGUAACGGGGCUAAACCAUGCACCGAAGCUGCGGCAGCGAACGUAUCACCCAAGACAACUUUACGGAGUUGACGAUUGACGGAGCGAAGCGACGUCAAAGCGUUCAUUAAAGUCGAGUUGGCUUAGGGAUACGUUCGUUGGGUAGGGGAGCGUUCUGUAAGCCUGUGAAGGUGUGUCGUGAGGCAUGCUGGAGGUAUCAGAAGUGCGAAUGCUGACAUAAGUAACGAUAAAGCGG
rnacentral:rRNA from 1 species